UACGGAGGGUGCAAGCGUUAUCCGGAUUCACUGGGUUUAAAGGGUGCGUAGGCGGACAGGUAAGUCAGUGGUGAAAUCUCUGGGCUUAACCCAGAAACUGCCGUUGAUACUAUCAGUCUUGAAUAUUGUGGAGGUAAGCGGAAUAUGUCAUGUAGCGGUGAAAUGCUUAGAUAUGACAUAGAACACCGAUAGCGAAGGCAGCUUGCUACACAAUUAUUGACACUGAGGCUCGAAAGCGUGGGGAUCAAACAGG
rnacentral:rRNA from 1 species